GACAGUAGGGAGAAAAAUAGAGGAGAAAAGAGACUCGUAGUGGUGCACAGCGGUGAUCACGACGGUAAUGGAAAGAGAAAAAGAGGAGAAGAGGAUGUACGGUGGGUGUAAGGUGCGGUGGUUAAUGGUGAAGGGUUCGGUCAUGGUGGAGGAAGGAAGUAAAAGUAAAAAGAGGAAAGGGUGGUGGCAUUGCAAAAAGAGAGAAAAAUAAGUGAGAAUGGAGAGAAAAAAUAAUAAUAUAGAGAAGAGGGAGGAGGGGAUGAUAAUGAUAAGUGGGUGUGUGGGAGGAAAGGUUGGUCAACUAGGUAUAGGUUCAAUGAAUCUCUACUAUGGCGAGGGUGAGAUAAAAUGGUAAGAGAGGGAAACAUGGAGUGAAAAGGGGAUCAUGCUCCUUCAACUUAUUAUAACUUUGACCCAUAAGGUAGGAAAGGG
rnacentral:lncRNA from 1 species